rnacentral:lncRNA from 1 species
CAGUUAUCCAAGUCAGAUUGUUCCAAUUUCUCAUAUUCAGACUCCAACGUCACAUUGUUCUGCUUCAAUUUUUCCUUCAAAGCAGGAUCAACCUUGCCAUGUAGUUUGUGGACGUCGUAUCUUAUCUGAGCAAACUCACGGAGUCCAAAAGAUCCCCCAACAAUGUAGAGCAGCAGCGGCACGCCGAAGGUCAUCGUGCGGCCCCGCCACAGUUUGCGGAACCGCUCCAUGCCGCUC